GGAGGGUGCAAGCAUUAAUCGGAUUUAUUGGGCGUAAAGGGGGGCUAAAGGCGGAAAUGUAAGUCAGAUGUGAAAGAUCGGGGGCUCAACCCCCGGGAACGCAUUUGAAACUGUAUAUCUAAGAGGGUAGGCGGAGAAAGCGGAAUUCCACAUGUAGCGGUGAAAUGCGUAGAUAUGUGGAGGAACACCGGUGGCGAAGGCGGCUUUCUAGCUUAUACCUGACGCUGAUGCCCGAAAGCUGGGGGAGCGAACAGGAUUAGAUACCCUGGUAGUCCCAGCCGUAAACGAUGCAUACUUGGUGUAGCCGGACUCAACCCUGGCUGUGCCGGAGCUAACGCGUUAAGUAUGCCGCCUGGGGAGUACGCUCGCAAGGGUG
rnacentral:rRNA from 1 species